CCGAGCUCAUGCCCUACCGGGUAGAUCUCCCACCCUGUGUUAUUAUUACCUUUGUUGCUUUGGCGGGCCGCCGCGCUCCGGCCUGGCUACCGGCUCCGGCUGGUAAGCGCCCGCCAGAGGACCCCAAACCCUGAAUGUUAGUGUCGUCUGAGUACUAUAUAAUAGUUA
rnacentral:misc_RNA from 1 species